rnacentral:rRNA from 1 species
CAGCCGCCGCGGUAAUACGAAGGGUGCAAGCGUUAAUCGGAAUUACUGGGCGUAAAGCGUGCGUAGGCGGUGAGUUAAGUCUGCUGUGAAAUCCCCGGGCUCAACCUGGGAAUGGCAGUGGAUACUGGCAAGCUAGAGUGUGUCAGAGGAUGGUGGAAUUCCCGGUGUAGCGGUGAAAUGCGUAGAGAUCGGGAGGAACAUCAGUGGCGAAGGCGGCCAUCUGGGACAACACUGACGCUGAGGCACGAAAGCGUGGGGAGCAAACAGGAUUAGAUACCCCUGUAGUCCCUGUCUCUUAACA